rnacentral:rRNA from 1 species
GACGAACGCUGGCGGCGUGCUUAACACAUGCAAGUCGAGCGGUAAGGCCCUUUCGGGGGUACGACGAGCGGCGAACGGGUGAGUAACACGUGGGUGACCUGCCCUCAGCUCUGGGAUAAGCCUGGGAAACCGGGUCUAAUACUGGAUAUGACUCCAUGACGCAUGUUGGUGGGGUGGAAAGCCUUGUGCGGCUGAGGAUGGGCCCGCGGCCUAUCAGCUUGUUGGUGGGGUGAGGCCUACCAAGGCGACGACGGGUAGCCGGCCUGAGAGGGCGACCGGCCACACUGGGACUGAGACACGGCCCAGACUCCUACGGGAGGCAGCAGUGGGGGAAUCUUGCGACAAUGGGCGAAAANCCUGACGCAGCGACGCCGCGUGAGGGAUG